AUUGAACGCUGGCGGCAGGCCUAACACAUGCAAGUCGAACGGCAGCGGGGGGUAGCUUGCUACCCCGCCGGCGAGUGGCGGACGGGUGAGUAAUGCCUGGGGAGCUGCCCAAUCGAGGGGGAUACCAGUUGGAAACGACUGCUAAUACCGCAUACGCCCUGAGGGGGAAAGGUGGGGAUCUUCGGACCUACCGCGAUUGGAUGCACCCAGGUGGGAUUAGCUAGUUGGUGAGGUAGCGGCUCACCAAGGCGACGAUCUCUAGCUGGUCUGAGAGGAUGCCCAGCCACGCUGGAACUGAGACACGGUCCAGACUCCUACGGGAGGCAGCAGUGGGGAAUAUUGCACAAUGGGGGAAACCCUGAUGCAGCCAUGCCGCGUGUGUGAAGAAGGCCUUCGGGUUGUAAAGCACUUUCAGCGAGGAGGAAAGGGGUGAUGCUAAUACCAUCAUCCUGUGGCGUUACUCGCAGAAGAAGCACCGGCUAACUCCGUGCCAGCCGCCGCCGUAA
rnacentral:rRNA from 1 species